GGUCUUAUGAUAGUAGAAUUGCAAAUUCAACUAGGCUAUGUUAGCUAAGACUU
rnacentral:tRNA from 1 species